UGGGGAAUAUUGCACAAUGGGCGCAAGCCUGAUGCAGCCAUGCCGCGUGUAUGAAGAAGGCCUUCGGGUUGUAAAGUACUUACAGCGAGGAGGAAGGCGUUGUGGUUAAUAACCGCAGUGAUUGACGUUACUCGCAGAAGAAGCACCGGCUAACUCCGUGCCAGCAGCCGCGGUAAUACGGAGGGUGCAAGCGUUAAUCGGAAUUACUGGGCGUAAAGCGCACGCAGGCGGUCGGUCAAGUCGGAUGUGAAAUCCCCGGGCUCAACCUGGGAACUGCAUCCGAAACUGGCAGGCUAGAGUCUUGUAGAGGGGGGUAGAAUUCCAGGUGUAGCGGUGAAAUGCGUAGAGAUCUGGAGGAAUACCGGUGGCGAAGGCGGCCCCCUGGACAAAGACUGACGCUCAGGUGCGAAAGCGUGGGGAGCAAACA
rnacentral:rRNA from 1 species